rnacentral:lncRNA from 1 species
AAUGUAGCUUGAUUCGGUAGCAGUAAUUUUUGUAAGAAUGAAAACAGUUAUCUCCUAAGAAAAACAGUGCAAAUGCACAUGUCAAAACUGUGUUUUAAUUUGCAAUGUAUGCAGCAAUCCAUUAACUAUUCCCAAAUUUCUUUUCUCCUUUUGCAGUGGAUUCUCUGAUAUCAUAUUGCAAUCCUCGUAUAAGAACAAAGCUCUGUACAAUUGAUUCUUCUUUUUGUUGUCAGUUUUUCAUUAUGAUCACUAAGGAUAUCUGUAUUUUGGGCUGAAACAAAAACCAAAGACUCAUGAAAGGAACCUAAUGUGGGUUUUCUUUUCCUGGGAUGAUGUCCUUGCAUUAAAUAGAGUGCUCUGCAUUUUUAAAAAGCCAAAUAUCAAUAUUUUAUUAAUGUGGGCUUUGGUGGAUUGAGCUGCAGCUGUGCCUUGGUGCAGCAGCUCUGUGCCUCCUGCAGAGAACAGCCUGUGCCCCAGCUCUGCCGGCUGCUGCAGCGUCCUGGCGCUGCUGGUGUGAGCACAGCUGGGACAGCAAAGUGCCCUCCCUGGCACAAAGAUGCACAGCUCUCCUACAUCUCUUGUGUUCAGUGUAGACAGACUUGCAUAUGGGGCACUGCCAAUGCAGUAAUGGCAAAAUAUUGAAAGAUGAGCGCAUAUAUUGCUGCUUAAAGUUCAACAGAAAUGAUUUACACUCAUGUGAGUAUUUUUAAUAUUAUUAACAACACCACUAGCCUUUACCCAAGAGUAGUUUAUAUCUGUGUCUUCUUCUGAAGAGAAAAAAGCAAAUCAAAGUAGUAUUUUAAAAGCUAAGAUAAAACCUGUAAAUAUAGUUAUUGACAUAGGGAUCUUCUGAAUAUAUUAAGAAUUUCCCUACAAAAAUUCAUGUGGUUAAGAUUAGUUAUUAGGUUUCAGUUUUACUCCUUCUCUACAGCUAAAUGCCAUGGGCUUAGAUAGCGUGUCUUAAAAGAUGCUAACAAAGCAGAAAGAGAUUUACUUAUAGCUAACAUGCAGCAAACCAAAUUGUAAUAACUUGUUUGUGUGAAGGAUUGAUUUUGAUUUCUCAUCUGCAUCAUGUGACAAUAUCUGUAACAUGAACCCUGCAUCAGGCUCUGGGGUCUGCAACACAGGAAUGACAUGGAACUGUUGGAACAAGUCCAGAGGAGGCCACCAACAUGAUGCAAGAGAUGGAGCACCUCUCCUGUGAGUAAAGCUUGAGGGAGUUGGUUUUGUUCCGCCUGAAAAAGAGAAGGCUUUGGGGUGGCCUGAUUGUGGCUUUCCAGUACUUGAAGGGAAUUAUAGAAAAGAUGGAGAGGGACUUCUUGAAAGGGCAUCCAGUGACAGGACAAAGGGGAAUGGCUUCAGUCUGAAAGAGGGUAGGUUUAGAUCAGGUAGUAGGAAGAAGUUCUCUGCCGUGAGGGUGGUGAGACACUGACACACGUUGCUCAGAGAAAUUGUGGAUGCCCCAUCCCUGGAAGUUUUUAAGGCCUGAGCAACCUGGUCUAGUAACAGGUAUCCCUGUCUGCAGCAGGGGGAUUGGAAUUUGCAUGAGCUUAAAGGUCCCUUCCAACUCAGGCCAUUCUAUGAUCCCAUGAUUCUGUGACUCUGUUCCACGUAGUGGAGCUUGGUGUUAUUAUGCAUUAUCGUUUGAAGAGAAUGCUCACUUGGAAAGUUUGAAGCACCCAAAGAUUUUUCUGGCUUGACAAAGCAAGGCAGGUGCUGGAGAGUCAAAGCACAUGGACAAGCCUUGGGUCAUCGCUGGCAGGAGACAAGAAUAACCUACAAGGGCACCUGCAUGAGGAGAACCUUCUUAUUCUGUAAUUUUCCCAUAAUCAUUUAAUGACAAGUUUUUCAUUCCCUUUAAAGUAAAUGACUGCUAAGAAAUGUGGUGACCUUACUGGUUAUGGCUUUACAAUUUUCUACUGAACAGAACUGCGCAGAUAAAAAGUCUUUGGCCUUUGCCUUCUGUGAAAAUAAAAAAGGGCUUAGAGAACAAAGUUUAUUAACAGUUGCUCGUUGGCACAUUUGUCUCAUUUCCUAGCUCUGACCAGCAUACUUAGCAAGGAGACAAGAAAGAGAGAGGCAAGGGAUAUGUCUCAGGACUGCAGCCCCUUCCUGCGUGUCUCCUGCUCCGGGAGGGAUGUCCUGGUGGACAGCUCCAGGUGGCUGCCAGCCAGGGCCCUGCCCUGCUCUGCCCGAGGCACCGUGCCCAGGCAGUGCUCCCCUCCAGCCUCCUGGGCUCCACAUCCCCUCUCUGCCUGCCCUUUGGGAAAUCCACCACUUAACAUCGCUCCUCCCUGAUCCCUCCCGAUCCUUUCGUGUUCCAAACACUACACAGAGAAAUGUCCGUCUUUCCUAAGUCUCCAUACACACAUUGCAGCUCCUGCUGCAGAGAUCUGCCUUCUUUCCCAGAGCUGCUGCCUCUGUAUUCCAGGCCUGAUUUGAAGACAUAACUAAGCAAGCAGAAACCAAAAGAAUUUUUUUUUCAUUAUUGCCAUGUAUUCCUUUGUCGCCUGCCAUUGUUUUCAAGUGUUUGAGCACAUCUUGCUUGAGACAGUCAGUAUUAUGAACUUGCCUGUUGCAUAUCAUCCCCUUUCUUGUGGUUUUCCCAGCCCCCUAAUCCUGUUAUUAAUCCAUAGGAGAAAAGACAGCAUGCUUCCUACAAAUUGCAUACUCAGUAAAAACCGGUCUAGAAUGUUCAAAUAGUAAAAUAUUUUAAAAGUAUCUCAUACCAGAUGCUGGAAAUUUGUUCUAGGAAUUAAUAUUCAUUACAUUUCUAAUAUUUCUGUAUUUUAAUAUUAAUUUCUGUUUUGUAGCUGUUCCUGACUAUUACUUCUUGUAAUAGAAGUUCAGUAUCUAUUUGUUCAAAGAAAAAUGUAUCUGCUAAAACAGGCAGGAAGCUGGAACACCCUGACAGCUGGUGCAGCACAUUUUUUCAAUUGCCAGACAGCAGCUCAGAAAUGGUGUGCCUGAGAGGGAGAAAUGGAAAUGAUUGUGAUAUUGUUUGUGGAGCACAUGAAAAAGCACGUGCUGCCAUCAUAGCAGUUUUUCUGACCUCAGUCAUGCUUUGUGUUAGGCAGCUGUAAAUGUAAGAAAGAAAAUGCAGAUCUAGUGUUAAAUUUUAAACAUAUUAAUGAAAAAUCUCUCUUUGAAACAACAAAUUAAGUUACAGCUGUACCUAUAGAACCUUGCACUAUAUGUUGUUUUUUGUAGCUAAGGAAAUUAAUUAUGAAUUACAAUUACAUUUUUUCCCCUUACAAGGUGAUAUGUGGCUGUAUGUGGGGAGUUUGUAUCCCUGAAAGGCAAGAUCUGCUUAUUCUAAUUCAGUAUCUGCUCAGAUAUUUAGUAACAUCUGGAAUACAGUUACAGAACUCCUGAUUUACAAAGUGAAAUAACAGAGGGAAAGGCAAGUUCUUUAGUUUGGGGCUUGACAUUCAUUUUAUCAUUUAUGCUACUUGUUUUGUGGAAGACAGAAGUGGAGAGAAUCAGAAUUUCACUGGGAACUGGCCAUGUCACAGCAGAAAAUGUGGUGCUCCUGAAAAACCUGCCUUGUAGAGGAAAUGUCAUCUGUGAAACACCAGGCUCCCUGUCACCCCUGAGCUGAGCCUGGCCUGCCAGACUUGCCUCUGCCUUGAGCUUCACGCUGCCAUUCCCAGUCUCACUGAACUCCGAUGUCAGUACAGAGCCUUGGCAGAAGAAAUCACAGUGGAAAACCUCUGCUCUACUUCCUGAAGUCACAUACAGGACAACCCUGCCCCUAGUUCCCCUGUCCUCUGCCUACACAGUCCCAAACAGGAACUGUUUGCUAAUCUGUGGGCUGCUAAAUUUAGCUGGUUCUUGAUAGCUGAAAACAGCUCACAGACUGGAUUGUACUGCUGGUCACCUGUAGCCAGAUAACACCAGCUAGCUGAUAUAAAACCAGGUGCAAAUAAUUGGCUCUGUCAGCUGCUCUCUAUAGGAGCAUUAAAAUAAUAGUAAUACUAAACUAAUAACUAUUAUUGUUGUUACUGUUAUUACAUACUGAAUAUAAUAAUUUCUAUACUUUUGUCUGAAAUUAUACACCUCUCAGGAUGAUUUCAGUCUUCAGAAGAGUUGAUCUGGGAGAUAUUUUUUCAUAGACAAUCUGAGAGAGACAAGAGUAGAGAGAAUGCAGAAUUAUACAGGGAACUAGAUCUGCCAUAGCAGAAGAUGUGAUCUUCCUGAAAGAUCCUCCCUGGCUGAGGAAGAUAUCAAGGUGAAUAUCAAACCCUAGCACUGGCUUUAAUUACAGCCACAUCAAAUAUUUGUGUUGGAACCUGACACCAUAUGAACUUUGUUCAGCUUCACCUUCCACUGCAAGUUUGUCAGGUGUUGCAAAGGACGUGAUGGCUGAGGAUCGUUAACAUGGGAGAAAAACCAAGCUCCUUUUUGGUUUUAUUUGCUUUUAAAGUAAAACAAAGGCAUGGGACCGUGUCCAGUGGUUCCCAAGUGGGGGUACUGAGGCUGCAAGGUGCUGUCUCCAGCUGCUAAUGAGUGCAGGUACAGGCACAGCUCUCUGUAACUGCACCAACUGUGUGGGCUUUAGAGGCUGGGGAGAAAGCACAGGUGAGAGUUGUGUCAUGAGCUGUGUCCUCACUGGCCUGUUGGAUGACUUCUGAAGAGCAGAGUCACCUGCCUGCAAUGGUCGCCUUCAGGUAUGUCCCACACAAGCUUCUGCAUCUUCUUAGACCUUGCCUCUUUGUCUCAGCUGCUGGCUUGGACUGGGAUCUAAAAGGCCUCCAGCUGCAGCUCCUUGCUCCUGUUUCUCCAGUGCCCAUCCAGGAUCAGAACUGAAGUAAUUUUACAAAACAACCUCAGCCUCCUGAGAUGGCUGAACAGAGGAGGUUGGUCUUUCUCCCCUGUAACAUAUGGCUGACCUUAACACCAAGGAUAAAAUUAUUAGAGAAAAUCACCUGACAGCUUCACCUGUGCCUCGUUAUGUAUAUUAUCCUCUUCAAUGUAAUGUAUCUCAGUUCCUCUGUUGCUUUUCCAGAAACAAGUGGAAACCACUUUGUCA